AGAGUUUGAUCCUGGCUCAGGACGAACGCUGGCGGCGUGCUUAACACAUGCAAGUCGAACGAGAAUCUACUGAAAGAGUUUUCGGACAAUGGAUGUAGAGGAAAGUGGCGGACGGGUGAGUAACGCGUGAGGAACCUGCCUUGAAGAGGGGGACAACAGUUGGAAACGACUGCUAAUACCGCAUGACGCAUAGAGGUCGCAUGAUCUUUAUGCCAAAGAUUUAUCGCUUCAAGAUGGCCUCGCGUCUGAUUAGCUGGUUGGCGGGGUAACGGCCCACCAAGGCGACGAUCAGUAGCCGGACUGAGAGGUUGAACGGCCACAUUGGGACUGAGAUACGGCCCAGACUCCUACGGGAGGCAGCAGUGGGGAAUAUUGGGCAAUGGGCGCAAGCCUGACCCAGCAACGCCGCGUGAAGGAAGAAGGCUUUCGGGUUGUAAACUUCUUUUAAGAGGGAAGAGCAGAAGACGGUACCUCUAGAAUAAGCCACGGCUAACUACGUGCCAGCAGCCGCGGUAAUACGUAGGUGGCAAGCGUUGUCCGGAUUUACUGGGUGUAAAGGGCGUGCAGCCGGGUCUGCAAGUCAGAUGUGAAAUCCAUGGGCUCAACCCAUGAACUGCAUUUGAAACUGUAGAUCUUGAGUGUCGGAGGGGCAAUCGGAAUUCCUAGUGUAGCGGUGAAAUGCGUAGAUAUUAGGAGGAACACCAGUGGCGAAGGCGGAUUGCUGGACGAUAACUGACGGUGAGGCGCGAAAGUGUGGGGAGCAAACAGGAUUAGAUACCCUGGUAGUCCACACUGUAAACGAUGAAUACUAGGUGUGCGGGGACUGACCCCCUGCGUGCCGCAGUAAACACAAUAAGCAUCCCACCUGGGGAGUACGCCGGCAACGGUGAAACUCAAAGGAAUUGACGGGGGCCCGCACAAGCGGAGGAACAUGUGGUUUAAUUCGAUGAUACGCGAGGAACCUUACCCGGGCUUGAAUUGCAGAGGAAGGAUUUGGAGACAAUGACGCCCUUCGGGGCCUCUGUGAAGGUGCUGCAUGGUUGUCGUCAGCUCGUGCCGUGAGGUGUCGGCUUAAGUGCCAUAACGAGCGCAACCCCUCUCCAUAGUUGCCAUCAGGUGAAGCUGGGCACUCUGUGGACACUGCCACCGUAAGGUGCGAGGAAGGUGGGGAUGACGUCAAAUCAGCACGGCCCUUACGUCCGGGGCUACACACGUGUUACAAUGGCAGGUACAGAGAGCCGGUCGUAUGCAAAUACGAUCCAAUCCUUAAAGCCUGUCUCAGUUCGGACUGGGGUCUGCAACCCGACCCCACGAAGCUGGAUUCGCUAGUAAUCGCGCAUCAGCCAUGGCGCGGUGAAUACGUUCCCGGGCCUUGUACACACCGCCCGUCGAGCCAUGAAAGCCGGGGGCGCCUGAAGUCCGUGACCGCAAGGAGCGGCCUAGGGCGAAACUGGUAAUUGGGGCUAAGUCGUAACAAGGUA
rnacentral:rRNA from 1 species